UGCAGAUGAUGACCACAAUAUUUGCUAUCUUAACUUCCUUGCCGACAAACCAUUAUCACCAAGAUCGCUGAUGCA
ensembl:snoRNA SNORD24 Small nucleolar RNA SNORD24